GUGACAUAAACUUAUGAGCAAGGAAAUAAUGAUUUGGGGUGACACCCGAAUCCUCACUGCUUAUAUGAGAUGAAUUUUUGAGUGGGCAAAGGUCGCUCCCCCCCUAAAAAAAAGUCAAUGGAAGCUCUCACUGUCCA
rfam:Otolemur garnettii contig181244, whole genome shotgun sequence.